AGGUGCCCGCUGCAGUGGGGAAGGCACGGCGGGGGGCUACGCACUCCACUGAGCCGCCAGGAGCCAGGAACAGG
rnacentral:pre_miRNA from 1 species